rnacentral:rRNA from 1 species
AUGGCUAGGGGGCUGUGGAAGGUUGGCAUUCCCCUCAAGAUUAAGAUUUUUAUGUGGCAAAUGUUCCGCAAUCGCCUUCCAACCUCGGAUAAUGUGGCCAACCGCAACGGGCCGGCGAAUGGGACAUGCGCCAUCUGUGGUCUUGGGGAGGACGCUAACCACGUAUUCUUCAGAUGCUGUCUCGCUAGAUUUGCGUGGAGUGCGGUCAGAGAUACUUUUAAUCAGAAUUGGAACCCGCAAACUAGUGUCGAUCUUCUUAACCUGUUAUCCGCACAGAGGGGUGUGAAUGCGAGGGUGGUGUGGCGCAGCGUAGGGGCGAUGCUUUGGUCCAUUUGGACCGUGAGGAACAAAAUUACUAUCGAGCACAAGUUUCCUGCUCACCCCGUUGAGAUUCUUUUCAAAUGUCAUAUUUUCUUACAGGCUUGGGCGCCAUUGGGGAAGCAGCAUGACGAGGAACGCAUGAUCGAGACUAUGGAGUAG